rnacentral:antisense_RNA from 1 species
CACACAUAGGUGCCUCCUAGAAGGUUUCUAUGGAUAGUUGGUGUAGAGAGGUUCGAGCUCUCUACACCAAUGUUUCU